rnacentral:lncRNA from 1 species
UUAGUGGAUUGUAAGGGCGAUGCAACAUGUGAGGUCUGCGCGAUCACGUGACAUUAUUAUUUGUAAACAAACAUGCUCCCCGUGUAACACGUGUCUGAAUUAUCCUUUCAAAGUGUUAUGAAUCUUUCAAUCACUAUUUUAUGAUAUAUUUUUCUGUUUUUAGGUUUGCAUAUCAGUAGUCAAAGUGAAUUAGACAUAGUUCUGAGUAUUGUGGGUUUUUUUUUUUUUAAAUUAGAAGGUAAGUCUACAUAACUUCAUAAGUCAUUAUUUAACUCUGAGACUACUAUAACACAUUAUAGUAGUCUCAGUUUAACUGAAGUCUAAAAAGAUGACUCAACUUUCCCUCUUAUUCUCCCUCUAUUUUUGAAACCUGCAUACCAAAUGAAAGGGCAUUUGCUCC